rnacentral:misc_RNA from 1 species
UCCGAGUUGACCCCGGCAGUCUCCUAUGAGUCCCCACCAUCACGUGCUGGCAACAUGGAACGAGGGUUGCGCUCGUUGCGGGACUUAACCCAACACCUCACGGCACGAGCUGACGACAGCCAUGCAGCACCUGUGCUGGUACCCGACUCUACGGGUCGCCGACCCUUUCGGGCGACUACUGCCAGCAUGUCAAACCCCGGUAAGGUUCUUCGCUUUGCAUCGAGUUAAACCACAUGCUCCACCGCUUGUGCGGGCCCCCGUCAAUUCCUUUGAGUUUCAGCCUUGCGGCCGUACUCCCCAGGCGGGGCACUUAAUGCGUUGGCGUCGGCAGUGAAGGCGUUGAAACCACCACCACCUAGCACUCAUCGUUUACGGCUGGGACUAC